GCGAUGAGUUGGCGGGUUCUCAGCCCCCGCUGCACGGCUAACGGAGGGUAUGCAGGGAGCACCGGGCAAUCCCGGCCUUCCCGAUCCAUCCGUGCACCGUCGGAGAGGAGGAGCAAGGCCGCCUGGGCCUAUUAAACAACAAUGUUUAAUGGAGGGUGAAGAGUUAUGGCCCCGCAGAGGUUCCUCCGCUCCGCAGCCGGAGGACGAGCUCCCGUUCCCCAUCACCCACGGCCCUGUCCGUGGAGAUCCCCGUCCGUCGGACCAGGUGCACCCAUAGUCACGGGGGGCUGCGAUUUUUUGGGGUGGGGGCUGUGGCUGGGCACGUGCAUCACGGCUGCCACACAAAGCAAAGCCUUCCCCGGGACCGUGCCCCGAUGCCAUGGGUCCCCCCCUCCACGGCCCCUGCGGGCACCCACCGCAGGGCAGCCCGAGCCGGCGCUGGGUGCCAAAACUGCCGAAGGUGAAUUACCUGCUGGUUCCUGAUCUUGCAGCCAUGGUGGUUUUGGAGACAGGUAAUUAAUUACCUUCUGCUUUUAAUUGCUGCUGGGGGGUCGGGAUGCUGUUGGCAGUGCCCGUGUGCCUAUGAGGGGACCGGAGGGUCGUGGGUCCGUGACUCGUGUCGGCAGCAUGGACGCGUCCUGGCUCGUGCCGGGGACUCAAAACCCUUGGGACGCGAGUCCAUCGGCUCUGGCAGCUCCCUGGAAUGAUGGAAUUAAGUUACAAGGAAGAAGAAGGAGGAUGAAGAAGGACAGUGCGCCGGGAGGCUCCGGCAAGGUGGAUGUCAAUGGAGCCACAUGGAGAAAACCCGGGAUGCCGGAUCUGGCCCGCGAUGCCUUGCCGACAUCCAACACACCCCAUCUCCCCCCCCCCCCAAAAUGCAACCCUCGCCGGGACCCGCGGGUGCUGCCCGCCGAGCCUGCGGGUUUAAGCGGCGUGUUGGCAGCCGGCGAGAUGCGUGUGUCACCCGGUGAUUAGAUGGUAUCGCCUUAUCAGCGGCAGC